UCGGCAUUUGGCAAUGCUGACUUAACUGCAGACCUAAAUGUGUUUGCGGUUUGCAAAAAAAAUUUGGUUUUGCCGACCUCGUUUUGAUGCUUUAUGGUAAGACGACCUGAUGCCGACCUCUAUAAGAUUGAGGUCGGCAAAUUAUUGCUGACCUCAAUUUUCCUAAUUCCGAGGGUUGUAUAUAUAAAUAAGGUUAAAGUACAUUGUAUAAUUGAGUUUCUUAGAUUUAAUCUAGAUUCACUAAGUAUCAUAAAAAUAGUUUUCAUUCAAGUUCAAAACUUUCUUAAAAACAAAACAUGUUCAGUUUUAAUUAAAAAGAAUCUGGCUGAAAAAAUGUGGCAAAUAUGACAGCAAAUGAGCAAAAAAAAAAACGUACACUCGAAGAUUGUGGUAUACAAGUUUAAAAAAAUGACGGGGAUAGGCCUACAGUUUCCAGAUUGAUAUCUACAAAUUCCUCUCAAUCAUGUCAAGCUUUUGAAAUAGAUAGCUUUGCAAAUGAGUCUUAUGAAAUUUUGUUGAACUCAGAAGAACCACUUCCUCCUUCGAGUGGCACGUUGGCAAUGUUGGCAACAAGAGUUGAAAAUGAAAACAAUAUUUUGGUAAAAUUUGCUUCGCAAAGAUUCUUUUAAUUAUUUUUGUGAAUUUGUGAAAAUUAUAUACUUAUUAAAAUCUUUAUUUAAAAUAUUAGAAUAAAGAUAAGAUAAGUGAGGAAAUUACUACAAACACCUGCUUUGUGGGCUGAAAAUAUGUCCAAAGUAGAACGCUAUGCAGUUGUUCUUCAGGGGCCUCCUAAAAAUCCUUUAUCUUUUCCGAAAGACUCAAACAAGAUUAAGGUUCCUGAAUCAGUUUUCCACGAAGUAACUCGUAAUGGGGAGAAAAUAAACAGAGAUUAACUUGUUUGGAGUGCAACUUCAAAAUCAUUUCUUUGCUUACCCUGCUCACUUUUCAGAAGCAAACCAGCCUGCGGGGCUGGUAAUAAUUCACAUCUUCUACGUUGGAAUGGUGACAUCAAUGGAAACUGGAGAAAGCUGGCUGAAAAAGUAAAAAGCCACCAAAACAAUCCUCACCAUCAAGACUAUUACAUUAAGUAGAAAACAGCGCUGGAAAGCUUGGAAAAUCAAUGUGAGAUUGAUUCAAGUUUAGAAAAAAUUAUAAAAAAUAAGGUAGCCAGGUGCCGUGAAAUUUUAAAUUGCAUUUUAGAUGUAACUCUCUUCUUAACAUCAUGCAACCUUAGCUUCAGAGGCUCAUCAAAAAUGAUCGGUGAUGACAAUAACGGCAUUUUUCUUGCAACUCUAGAGCUCGCAAAGCACAACGAAACCCUUUAGUUACAUCUAGAAGAGGUUUCUCGCUGCCAACAAGAAGGUAAACAAAUUGUUCCCAUUAUUUGGGCUGGAGUUCUCAAAAUAAUUUUAUAAAAGAGUGUGGAAGAAUCGUCCACUGUGCCAUCAUUAAAGUGGCGCAUAUGGCAAUUUACUAUUCCAUUCUUGUUGACAGAACGCCUGACGUCUCUCAUACUGAGCAAAUUGCAUUUGUUCUCCGCUUUGUCUACUAUGGUAUCGAUAAAAAAUGGGUAGUUAAGGAGCGCUUUCUUAGGGUCAAAAGUCUCAAUAAAAAGAAAGGUGUGGAUAUUGCUAAGCUAAUUAUGGAUGUCUUGGAUCAAAAUGACAUCGAUCUGAAGAACUGUUGAGGUCAGGGAUAUGACAACGGUGCCGACAUGUCUGAUGUGUACAAAGGAGUACAAGCGAUCAUUCUUCAGAGAAAUCCUCAAGCUUUCUACAUGCCAUUACUUUAGAUGAUGAGAUGAAACUUAUGAAGAUUCUUAUCGAGGAUCUUACUAGACUUAAAUCUUCUUGGCCUGAGUUAAUUAAUGAAGCACAUUUAGUUGCCUCCGGUCUAGCUAGUUAUGGGUUUCAGUCAAAACUAGUUCAAAAAAUGACAAAGAAGAGGAAAACUUUUUACAAAGAAGCAAGAAAGAAAGUUCAUUUCUUAGAAAACGAUGAAAAGCGGUUUGAGGUGAACGUAUUCAAUACCCCUCUUGAUACUUUAAUUCAACAAAUAAAAGACAGAUUUCAAGCUGCAGAAAAGAUGACUAACAGUUUUUCUUUCCUAUGGCUCUCAGAAUCUAAUAGUAGGUCGAGUGAUGAAAAAGAAAUUGCCUGGAGGAAAAAUGUAAAACUUUGGUGCAAAUGUAUGUGAACGACGUAGAUGAAGACAAACUUAUUUUAGAAGUCUGUCAUCUGGAUACUCUGAAACGUGCCAAUCUUUUCGGUCCAAAAGAAUAUCUCACUUCAAUGAAGCUAUUAAAUGGAAUCUAUCAAAAAGGUCUAGAGUCUAUCUUGUAAUUAACAUGCAUUUUAUUAUGUAUUUUUAACACAAUUCCUGUUUCCAUCGCCGAAGGAGAGCGGUCUUUCAGCAAGCUUGGUCUAGUCAAGACAACACUAAGAUCUACAAUGAGUCAAGACCGGCUUACCAAUCUCUUAGUUAUAUCUAUUGAGCACGAUCUAGCAAAAAGUCUGUGCUACGACGAGGUCAUUGCAAAUUUUGCUUUAAAUAAAGCCCGGAGAGUCAAAUUCUCAUGAAGCAUUUAAAAUAUCUAUUACAUUUAAAAUUUACAGUUACUCACAUUAUAAUAAAGUUCAAUAACUUGUCAACUUGUGCUUCUUUCUUUACCUUUAUUUCAAAUUUAUUUAAAAAAUAAAUAGAAGCCUCCUCGACUGUAAUUACCCCUCGGCCUCUGAAAGUGAAUUCAAAAACGCAAAACUUUAAAAAAUAAACUUAGCAUUUGGACAGUACCUAAACUUUUUUCGAUUAGGUCAAUAUGACAGGGCGCUAGAUAAAUUUUGACCCCAGGCGUCAUAACAGGACCCG
rnacentral:lncRNA from 1 species